rnacentral:tRNA from 2 species
UCCCUGGUGGCUCAGAGGUUAAAGCGUCUGCCUCCAAUGCAGGAGACCCAGGUUCGAUCCCUGGGUCAGGAAG